CGGACGGGUGAGUAACACGUGGAUAACCUACCUAUAAGACUGGGAUAACUUGGGAAACCGGAGCUAAUACCGGAUAAUAUAUUGAACCGCAUGGUUCAAUAGUGAAAGACGGUUUUGCUGUCACUUAUAGAUGGAUCCGCGCCGCAUUAGCUAGUUGGUAAGGUAACGGCUUACCAAGGCGACGAUGCGUAGCCGACCUGAGAGGGUGAUCGGCCACACUGGGACUGAGACACGGCCCAG
rnacentral:rRNA from 1 species